GACGAACGCUGGCGGCGUGCUUAACACAUGCAAGUCGAACGGUGAAGCGCUUGCCUUUUUGGUGGGUGUGGAUGAGUGGCGAACGGGUGAGUAACACGUGAGUAACCUGCCCUCUUCUUCUGGAUAACCUCAUGAAAGUGGGGCUAAUACGGGGUAUUCCGGGUCUGUCGCAUGGCGGGUUUGGGAAAGAUUGCGCCUUUGGGUGUUUUCGGUGGGGGAUGGGCUCGCGGCCUAUCAGCUUGUUGGUGGGGUGAUGGCCUACCAAGGCGGUGACGGGUAGCCGGCCUGAGAGGGUGGACGGCCACACUGGGACGGAGACACGGCCCAGACUCCUGCGGGAGGCAGCAGUGGGGAAUAUUGCACAAUGGGCGCAAGCCUGAUGCAGCGACGCCGCGUGAGGGAUGGAGGCCUUCGGGUUGUGAACCUCUUUCGCCAGUGAAGCAGGCCUGCUCCUGUGUGGGUGGGUUGACGGUAGCUGGAGAAGAAGCGCCGGCUAACUACGUG
rnacentral:rRNA from 1 species